rnacentral:tRNA from 2 species
GCAGAUAUGGCGAAAUUGGCAGACGCGCACGGUUCAGGUCCGUGUGUCUCACGACAUGCGAGUUCGAGUCUCGCUAUCUGCA